rnacentral:snRNA from 1 species
ACAUGAUACAGAGCAGGUUAGCACAGCCCCUGCACAAGGGUGACACGCAAAUUCAUGAAGCAUUUCAUAUCUUU